rnacentral:lncRNA from 1 species
GAUAAAUGAAUCUCUUACCUUCAUCUGAAACUCUUGGUCAGAAAAUCUACUACUUACAUUCAUGUCUUCUGAAAAUAAACAGGAAAAGUUAACCAAAAGCACUGCUAAAAAUGGAGAACAAAAUCAAUCAUAACAUAGAACUAAAUUUUACAAGUUUUCCUCUCCAGGUAGCAUGAGAAAAACAGCACGAGAGUGCCAGUAAAUAAACAAAUGCAAUGAGGACUUGUAGCACAAAUUAUCGUUUGCUGUAAUGUGGACUGACAGAGUCACAUUUUCUAGAUUAUAUCCUGUUAUAACCUAUCACUAGCAAGAAUGGAUCGAGGCUUUGAACUAGGUGCUUGGGAUCUCAGUUCUCUGCUGUGUGAAAUGAAAUCCCACAAGUGCUUCUUCAGUGCCAGAAAUGGGAGCUUGGAGGAUGUCUGAAAUCCAGACCCAUUUGGAGGUAAAAUUUACAUCUGCUUUAAUAAGAGUUUUGUUUAAGGUUAUGAUUUGAUUUUUUUCCC